UACGUAGGGGGCUAGCGUUUUCCGGAAUCAUUGGGGGUAAAGAGCGUGUAGGCGGCCCGGUAAGUCCGCUGUGAAAGUCGGGGGCUCAACCCUCGAAUGCCGGUGGAUACUGUCGGGCUAGAGUGCGGAAGAGGCGAGUGGAAUUCCUGGUGUAGCGGUGAAAUGCGCAGAUAUCAGGAGGAACACCAAUUGCGAAGGCAGCUCGCUGGGACGUAACUGACGCUGAGACGCGAAAGCGUGGGGAGCGAACAGG
rnacentral:rRNA from 1 species